CACUAUACAAGUGAAUUGAAUUGAAUUGAAUUGAAUUGCAGAGUUCAAUCACUCUGUCACAACAUGCAGGACUCAAGGGCAGGUGUCUGGCAAAACAGAAAGGGGGUUUGAUUGAACUACACACACACAGGGACUGGAAAUUAACAGGACCAGAGGAAUCAGAAUGAGAAGGCUUGGACAAAAAGGGACACGGACUGACAGGAGAAGUGAUAUUAAUCACCAGACAAGCAAUGAUGAGACAAACAGUUUGCAGGCUUCCUCUGAUCACAUGGCAUUUCUCCAGGUUCCAGUGCCCUGCAAUGGACUGACGUGCAGUUGAAGGUUUACCUCACUUUACACUGUGUGCUUCCAGCAUUAGGACCUAGAUAAUUAUAUUACUGUUAAAUAACUAUGAUAAAACAGAGAUAAAUCUUUGAGACAACAGGGAGAUCCAACUAUAUUUUAUGUCUUAUUGGAACAAUUUAUAUAUACACAGUAACUCUAAUUCAAGUCUUCUUUAUACAUGCAGAUUUUUAAUUUUGUUAAUGGAGUCUAUGCAUUGAUAGUUUAUUUUAUUCUCUACAGACUAAUAAUAAUGGUCUGACUUUUUGAAGGGCUUAACAUAUAGCCUUGUGGUUUUGUCACAUCCUGUUUAAAGUGUCCACUCCCCCUUCACUCUGCCUGCUGUGUGUAAGAAUAGAAACGACAGAGACAGUGAAGGUACAGAGAAUGAGGAAGUGAUUGUCACUCUCCACAGAUCUGGGCUCAGUUACACACACGAAUGGAUCCUCUGAUGCUCCUGUUUCUUCUCAUUGCUGGGCUCACAGGUGUUGACAGUGUGUCUUCAGUGGGACAGGUGUCUGUACAGAGUGGAGGAUCUGUCACCAUCCCAUGUUUCUAUGAAGGCAGAUAUGAAUCUAAUGUGAAAUACUGGUGUAGAGGGCAUGACUGGAGUUCAUGUACUUCCAUAGUACGCACUGACUUUCCACGGAAGAAGGGUGAAGUGUCAAUCAGAGAUGAUCCUGACCAGCGAGUCUUCACUGUGACUAUGAACAACUUGCAAACUGGGGUCUCUGAUUACUACUGGUGUUGUGUGGACAUCAGCGGAGCUUCAGAUGUUGGAGAAAAAGUUUACCUGUCAGUCACUGAGGGUAAG